rnacentral:rRNA from 1 species
AUGUGGGAGACUCACACGGAUUUCUUCCCAAUGGUAGAAAGGGUGUGGAAGGAUGGCACUCACUGUGGCUCGGUCAAAGAUAUGCAUGAUAAGCUGACUAGGCUGGCGGGUUCGCUAGCAAUAUGGGGAGCGUGCACCUUUGGGCAGGUUAGAAAAGAAUUACGGGAGCUCAAAAGGCGUCUGGAACAGCUAUGUUCAAUAUUGGGUAGGCAAGGCCCAUCAGACGAAGAAAGAAGGAUUGAAGCUCGAAUGAUAGAAUUUAACUACAGGGAAGAAAUCAUGUGGAGGCAGAGGUCGCGUGUGCAAUGGCUAGCUGAAGGGGAUGGGAACACAAGGUUUUUUCAUCAAAAAGCAAGCAUGCGAAGAAUAAAGAACAGAAUUGAACAAUUAACACAUGAGGAUGGGUCUCUCUACAGCAGCGAGAGUGAAGUGGGGAAUAUGACCAUAGAUUUUUAUGAAAAACUAUACAAGUCUGAAAGCACAGUUGGGAUGGAGGAAGUGCUCUCACACAUACCUUGCAAGGUUAACGCUGAUAUGAAUGCGAUGCUUGUUGCACCUUACACAUCUGCAGACAUAAAAGAAGCACUUUUUCAGAUGUUCCCACCGGAGGCACCGGGGCCGGACGGUUUUCCGGCCCAAUUUUCCCAGAAAAAUUGGGGUGUUUGUGGUGAUGAGGUGACCAAGGUGGCGUUACGUGUUCUCAAUGGCGAAGAGUCUUCGGACGUUAUUAAUAGGACGUUCAUUGUUUUGAUCCCCAAGGUAUCCAACCCAACCUCUCUCUGUCUCUCAAUUCCGACCUAUAAGCUUGUGUAA